AUUGAACGCUGGCGGCAUGCCUUACACAUGCAAGUCGAACGGCAGCACGGGAGCAAUCCUGGUGGCGAGUGGCGAACGGGUGAGUAAAGUAUCGGAACGUGCCCAGUCGUGGGGGAUAACGUAGCGAAAGUUACGCUAAUACCGCAUACGAUCUAUGGAUGAAAGCGGGGGACCGCAAGACCUCGCGCGAUUGGAGCGGCCGAUAUCAGAUUAGGUAGUUGGUGGGGUAAAGGCUCACCAAGCCGACGAUCUGUAGCUGGUCUGAGAGGACGACCAGCCCAACUGGGACUGAGACACGGCCCAGACUCCUACGGGAGGCAGCAGUGGGGAAUUUUGGACAAUGGGCGAAAGCCUGAUCCAGCCAUGCCGCGUGCAGGAUGAAGGCCUUCGGGUUGUAAACUGCUUUUGUACGGAACGAAAAGGUUUGGCCUAAUAAGCUGAGCUCAUGACGGUACCGUAAGAAUAAGCACCGGCUAACUACGUGCCAGCCGCCGCAGUAA
rnacentral:rRNA from 1 species